CACGCCUUGCCCCCAACUUCUACAAAAUUCCUGCCCCCUACUUCUACAAAACACCUCUUCUACAAAACCCCAGUACCCCUUUAGAAAAAACCUGGCACAGCCGCCUGUGCCAAAAAUAACCUCGCCACUGGGUUUUGGAGAGGACUAAUGGCCAGCCUUUUGCCCAAAGACUAUGGGCCCUGCAAAAAGACAUGCUAAAACGUCUAUUUGGGCUUAUUGGAUUUUAAAACACUUUGUCUACCCCUUUAAAUCCAUGGGAAAAUGUGCCUCUUCCCCUCCCCCUUUUUCCUGUCCUAUUGUUCUCCACCAGGGCGUUGUCCCAGGGACACGGCCAGACCAGUUGGAAUUGGCUGCUUUGUCCCUCCUCAAUCUCUCGUCAGCCCUUGCUAUUGUUUAACCCCAUGGAUCUGAGCGCUUCUCGGACAUAUGGAGCGCUCAGAUCCAAGCUAUCUGCCGAUAUGUUGGACAUAUAGGUUAAACAUUGUGUUAUAUGAGUUAUGUAUUUUUAUGUGGUUUUUGUAACAGUUUCUGACUUAGAGAUAUUUCCUGUACCUGGAGAUAAUUAAAGUUACCACAGCCACUUAAGCCAAUUAUCUCCAGGAUAGAGGAGAAGAUAGACCGGCUGCACAGCCUAAAUCUGUGGAAC